UACAGAGGUCUCAAGCGUCGUUCGGAUUCAUUGGGCGUAAAGGGUGCGUAGGCGGCGCGGUAAGUCGGAUGUGAAAUCUCGGGGCUUAACUCCGAAACUGCAUUCGAUACUGCCGUGCUUGAGGACUGGAGAGGAGACUGGAAUUUACGGUGUAGCGGUGAAAUGCGUAGAUAUCGUAAGGAAGACCAGUGGCGAAGGCGGGUCUCUGGACAGUUCCUGACGCUGAGGCACGAAGGCCAGGGGAGCAAACGGG
rnacentral:rRNA from 1 species